rnacentral:rRNA from 1 species
ACAAGCCUGAGAAACGGCUAGUAGGACUAAGGUCUGCAGCAGGCGCGAAACUUACACAAUGCUAGAUUAAAAUUAGCGAUGUAGUGAAGAAAAAUAACGAUGUACUUCCAUUUAAACAUGGUAGUACAAUUGGAAUGAGACGACUAUAAAUGAGUUAGUCGAGUAACAAAUGGAGGGCAAGUCUGGUGCCAGCAGCCGCGGUAAUUCCAGCUCCAUUAGCAUACAUUAAAGUUGUUGCGGUUAAAAAGCUCGUAGUUGAAUUUUAGGCGGGCUCUAUUGGGGUGCAAUCGUUAAGGUUCUUAGGUGUUGCUUCGGCGGCCCUAGGUAACUGGUUGUCACCUUCCUAUAGGAACCCGCUGUUUCGUCACUUAAUCGAGUGCGAAGCGGGCUGGAACAAGCAUGAUAUUUAUAUUGUGUUGUUACAGCAUGUUUACCUUGAGAAAAUUAGAGUGCUCACAGCAGGCAGUUGGGGUGUAAAAGCUCCUUUAUGCUUGAAUAAUGUUGCAUGGAAUAAUAGAAUACGGCCUCGGUUCUAUUCUGUUGGUCUUAUAGAACAACAAACAAGUUGGUUAAAGCGAUCAAAAGUCUAUAUGUGUACGUGGUCAAUUGCUUGUAUGAAUACUGCUGACUUGUUGCCUAGAGCUUUAAAUUUUAGUGCCAUUCAGUGUAUUUUAAUGCAAGUUUGUCCAUUAAGCGUCAUGUAUUUCAAGGCUAGCUUUCUAAUCAACUGAGGCAAUGGUUAAAAGAAAUAGUCGCGGCGGCAUCAGUACUGCAUCGUGAGAG